GGGAGUGAAAUAGAACCUGAAACCCUGCACUUACAAGCUGUGGAAGCACAUUUCUUGUGUGACCGCGUACUUUUUGUAGAACGGGCCAACGAGUUACGUUAAGUAGCAAGGUUAAGCACUUAAGGUGCGGAGCCGUAGCGAAAGCGAGUUUUAACUGAGCGUUCAGUUACUUGACGUAGCCCCGAAACCGGGCGACCUACCCAUGAGCAGGAUGAAGCGAAAGUAAAAUUUCGUGGAGGUCCGAACCCACGGGCGUUGAAGAGCUCGGGGAUGACUUGUGGGUAGCGGUGAAAUUCCAAUCGGGCCCGGAGAUAGCUGGUUCUCCCCGAAAUAGCUUUAGGGCUAGCCUCAAGGUGAGAGAUACGGAGGUAGAGCACUGAAUGUCCUAGGGGGUAUUGCACCUACCGAAGACUAUCAAACUCCGAAUGCCGUCAUCUUAUACUUGGGAGUCAGACUGUGGGUGAUAAGAUUCAUAGUCGAAAGGGCAACAGCCCAGAUCGUCAGCUAAGGUCCCUAAAUGUAAGUUAAGUGGUAAAGGAUGUGGGAUUGCACAGACAACCAGGAUGUUGGCUUAGAAGCAGCCACUCAUUCAAAGAGUGCGUAAUAGCUCACUGGUCGAGUGAUCCUGCGCCGAAGAUUUCCGGGGCUAAAACUUACUACCGAAGCUACGGCAUCAGUAAUGAUGGGUAGGGGAGCUUCCCAUACGGGUUGAAGCAUGACCGUAAGGACAUGUGGACAGUAUGGGAGUGAGAAUGUUGGCAUGAGUAGCGAGAUGUGGGUG
rnacentral:rRNA from 1 species